AUGAUUCGAAAGGGUCUACCUUGCAAGCACAUAUUCCAUGUACUGAAGCACUUGAACAUAUCUGAAAUACCAAAGUGUUUAGUUCUUGUUCGGUUCACGAAAGAAGCAAGGUUGGGACUGCCCGCGAGGCGCACAAGCGAUUUGUUGGGAUUUGGUUGGACUGGGGCCGGGGAAAGAAUGAAAUAUAGCCAGGUCAGUGUGUUAGCGUCUGAAGCUAUGCAUGCGGCAUGCAAACACCCUGCUUUGUGGGAUCAGUUACAGGAGAGUUUGAAGGCUGUGAUAGCUAAGAGUCAUGAGUAUGAUCUGCUACAGGAAAAUUUGUUGAAGCAAACAAAUGACAUUAGUAAGUGUGUAGUUGAAUAUGUGGACGAUGGUGAAGGCAACACGAUUGCGGUUAAAGAUCCUAUGAAAGUGUCAAGCAAAGGUGCAACAAAGGUAGAUGAGAGCCGCCCUGUCUUGAAAAAUGGUAGACCGCUCUCUUUUGAUGAGUUGAAAACCCGGUGCGGCGCUUGCAAAUUGGUAGGACACACUAGACGUAGCAAGAAAUGCAAACUAAAUCAGAAGUAA
rnacentral:rRNA from 1 species